UACGGGGGGAGCAAGCGUUGUUCGGAUUUACUGGGCGUAAAGGGCGCGUAGGCGGUCAGCACAAGUCAGUUGUGAAAUCUCCGGGCUUAACUCGGAAAGGUCAACUGAUACUGUGCGACUAGAGUGCAGAAGGGGCAACUGGAAUUCUCGGUGUAGCGGUGAAAUGCGUAGAUAUCGAGAGGAACACCUGCGGCGAAGGCGGGUUGCUGGGCUGACACUGACGCUGAUGCGCGAAAGCCAGGGAGGCGAACGGG
rnacentral:rRNA from 1 species